rnacentral:rRNA from 1 species
GACGAACGCUGGCGGCGUGCCUAACACAUGCAAGUCGAACGGAAAGGUCAUGCUUUUGCUGGGUGCUCGAUUGCCGAACGGGUGAGUAACACGCGAGUAUACCGUCCCUAACUUUGGGAUAACAUUUCGAAACUGCGGCUCAUACCGCAGAGGACCUCCUGCUGCACGUUGGUCGUUGGAAAGAUUCGGCGGUUGGAGAUGGACUCGCGGCUUCUUAGCUUGUUGGUGGAGUAGUGGCUUACCAAGGCUUUGAAGGGUAGCCGGCCUGAGAGGGUGACCGGCCACAUUGGGACUGAGAUACGGCCCAGACUCCUACGGGAGGCAGCAGUGGGGAAUAUUGCACAAUGGGCGGAAGCCUGAUGCAGCAACGCCGCGUGCGGGAUGACGGCCUUCGGGUUGUAAACCGCUUUCGCCUGUGACGAAGCGUGAGUGACGGUAAUGGGUAAAGAAGCACCGGCUAACUACGUG